rnacentral:rRNA from 1 species
CACUCCUACGGGAGGCAGCAGUGGGGAAUUUUGGACAAUGGGCGAAAGCCUGAUCCAGCAAUGCCGCGUGAGUGAAGAAGGCCUUCGGGUUGUAAAGCUCUUUUGUCAGGGAAGAAACGGUGAAAGCUAAUAUCUUUUGCUAAUGACGGUACCUGAAGAAUAAGCACCGGCUAACUACGUGCCAGCAGCCGCGGUAAUACGUAGGGUGCAAGCGUUAAUCGGAAUUACUGGGCGUAAAGCGUGCGCAGGCGGUUUUGUAAGUCUGAUGUGAAAUCCCCGGGCUCAACCUGGGAAUUGCAUUGGAGACUGCAAGGCUAGAAUCUGGCAGAGGGGGGUAGAAUUCCACGUGUAGCAGUGAAAUGCGUAGAUAUGUGGAGGAACACCGAUGGCGAAGGCAGCCCCCUGGGUCAAGAUUGACGCUCAUGCACGAAAGCGUGGGGAGCAAACAGGAUUAGAUACCCGAGUAGUCCC